GGCCCCUUGGUCAAGCGGUUAAGACAUCGCCCUUUCACGGCGGUAACAUGGGUUCGAUUCCCGUAGGGGUCACCA
rnacentral:tRNA from 1 species